rnacentral:rRNA from 1 species
GACGAACGCUGGCGGCGUGCUUAACACAUGCAAGUCGAACGGAAAGGCCCUGCUUUUGUGGGGUGCUCGAGUGGCGAAAGGGUGAGUAACACGUGAGUAACCUGCCCUUGACUUUGGGAUAACUUCAGGAAACUGGGGCUAAUACCGGAUAGGAGCUCCUGCUGCAUGGUGGGGGUUGGAAAGUUUCGGCGGUUGGGGAUGGACUCGCGGCCUAUCAGCCUGUUGGUGGGGUAGUGGCUUACCAAGGCUUUGACGGGUAGCCGGCCUGAGAGGGUGACCGGCCACAUUGGGACUGAGAUACGGCCCAGACUCCUACGGGAGGCAGCAGUGGGGAUUAUUGCACAAUGGGCGGAAGCCUGAUGCAGCAACGCCGCGUGCGGGAUGACGGCCUUCGGGUUGUAAACCGCUUUCGCCUGUGACGAAGCGUGAGUGACGGUAAUGGGUAAAGAAGCACCGGCUAACUACGUG